UGACAAUAAAUCACAAUGCGAGACUUCUAGUCUUGCAAUUGGAUUGAGAACAACGUAAAACUUUUUUUGAUAAGCCAUUGGAGGGCAAGUUUGGUGCCAGCAGCCGCGGUAAUUCCAGCUCCAAUAGCGUAUAUUAACGUUGUUGCAGUUAAAAAGCUUGUAGUUUUUUGAGGGAGUUUGUGUUGGGAUAGAAUCGAUCGAGAGCAGUACAACCUCCCC
rnacentral:rRNA from 1 species